UCCAGACUCCUACGGGAGGCAGCAGUGGGGGAUAUUGCACAAUGGGGGGAACCCUGAUGCAGCGACGCCGCGUGGGUGAAGGAGCGUUUCGGCGCGUAAAGCCCUAUCGGCAGGGAAGAAGGAGGACGGUACCUGACUAAGAAGCCCCGGCUAACUACGUGCCAGCAGCCGCGGUAAUACGUAGGGGGCAAGCGUUAUCCGGAUUUACUGGGUGUAAAGGGGGCGCAGACGGCAGCGCAAGCCAGGAGUGAAAGCCCGGGGCCCAACCCCGGGACUGCUCUUGGAACUGCGCGGCUGGAGUGCGGGAGGGGCAGGCGGAAUUCCUGGUGUAGCGGUGAAAUGCGUAGAUAUCAGGAGGAACACCGGUGGCGAAGGCGGCCUGCUGGACUGCAACUGACGUUGAGGCCCGAAAGCGUGGGGAGCAAACAGGAUUAGAUACCCGCGUAGG
rnacentral:rRNA from 1 species